rnacentral:misc_RNA from 1 species
UCGCUGGUGCUGUUCAGUGUGGUGUGAGUUGAUCUUUCGAAUUAAAAAUUGGAGACUUAUUCUUUGGCUAUUCUUUUCAUUUUCUUUAUGGAUGCUUGUAAAGUGCAGUAAAUUAAAGUGAUUUGAGAUUAUGGUUAUUUCACAUUGCCACUUCUUAACCCUGCAUAUAAGAAGAUUUGCCUCUGUUGAUGUCAGAGUAUCUCUCGUGUGUUUUGUUGGAUAUCAUUUACUCCUGCAAAUUCUGGCAACUAUGGCACUGAGAUUGG